rnacentral:tmRNA from 1 species
GGGGGUGACUGGUUUCGACUUGGGGCGGUAGUCCCAGGGGAAGCGGGUCGAGGAUCCACGUUUAUCUCGUUAACGCUGCGUGGAAACCAAUAAGUGCCAACAACAACCGCACUGACUUCGCUCUGGCUGCCUGAUCAGCUAACGAAGGGUCAGCUCGGACGAGCCUUCCGUCCGACUCCUGGCCUCAUCUAGAAGGCUUGCUGAGUAGCCCGCGUUUCAGGGGCUCCUCGGGACUUUACUGGAACUGGGUCCGUUUGCGACAUGCCGACGUGAGUGCAAGGACCGAGUAAAACGCGCAGUCGGCUGCACCCGGAGAAGCCCUGGUUCAUCCUUCAAGGACGCGGGUUCAAUUCCCGCCACCUCCACGC